UUAACAUUUGAAAUGUGUAUUUAUAAACACACAAGUGGAACACAGAAGGAACCAUUAUUUUUUUGUUUUUACAGAGACAUCAUUUUGAGGCGAUUAUUGGGCUCUCAGUAAGAACAGGGAGAAGGUCCACUCUGUCUAUUAUGAUCCCUCUGCAUAUUCUAGAGGGCGCCAUCUUGAACAAGGUCAUGGGACGUCAUAGAGGACACUUCAUGAUACUCAACAUUUAGACCACUGUAAGGACAGUAUAGGAUAUUACAUUGGGGCAUAUUGAAAUCUAACUCCAGAGGGCACACCAUCAUCAUUCACUAAAGGUAAGGUAAGGUAAGUUUAUUUAUAAAGCACUUUUUUAUAUGCACAGAGUGCAACCCAAAGUGCUCUUUCUUUGAAGGGUGGCCAAAAGGGCACUCUAGAGGGUGGUGCACUCUGUGACGACUUUGAAUGCAGCAUCGUAUUUUACCUUUCCGGUCAGUUGUUUUUUCUGGUAUUUGUUAAAGGCCUAAUCUACAAAUGAAAUUAGCAAAACACAUAAGAUAAAAGGUCAUCAUAACAUCAUACAACAUGGUGGUUUUCAUAUUAGGCCAGAGAGUGCAACGGUUAGUCUAGAUAAAACAUGAAAUGCAGCCAGCAAGCAGAGGUGGAAGAGUUCAGCUGGUCACAUAUUUGCUCCAAUCAAUCAGUAAUUCAGCUGAUUUUUAUUAGCACAACUCAGCUAAUUAGUGAUAUCACCUGUGUUAAGUGCUCAGGUAAACUGGAGUUUUCCACCUCUGUCAGCAAGUCACUCACCCCUGAAUCACAACUGGUGAUGUCAAUGCAGCCUGUGAGGCUUCAGGACUUGUCUGUUAGUCAUAUGUCCAACUAUAGAUCUUCAAGCCUUGUGAUGUUAUUCAGAAGGCUGGACGAGAAUGGCAGAGAACCUUUUCACAUGUCCGAUUUGUUUGGAUCUACUGAAGGAUCCUGUGACUAUUCUCUGUGGACACAAUUAUUUUAUGGGCUGCAUUAAGGACUGCUGGGACCAGGAAGAUCAGAAGGGAGUUUACAGCUGCCCCUAGUGCAGACAGACCUCCUCUCCUAAGACCUGUUUUAAAUUAAAAAAAAAAAUACCAUUGUUGCUGAGCUUGUGGAGCAGAUAAGAAAGAAGACUCAUAAUCCAUCUGUUGCUCAAAGUUUUGCUGGACCUGGAGAUGUGGAGUGUGAUGUCUGCAGUGGGAGAAAAUGUAAAGCUGUGAAGUCUUGUUUGGAUUGUCUGGUGUCUUACUGUGAAACCCACUUCAAAGCUGUAGCCACAGGCCAGCUACAGGAGAGACUCUGCUCUCGUCACGAGAAGGCUUUUGAAAUAUUUUGCCGCACGGAUCAGAGUUGUAUCUGCUAUUUGUGCACAAUAGAUGAACAUAAAGGCCAUAAGUAGUCACAGCUGCUGCAGAAAGGACUGACAAACAAACUCUGUGGAGACAGACACAGAAGAGAUUCCAGCAGAGAAUCCAGGAGAAGGAGAAAGAGCUGCUGGAGGUGAGUACGGCUGUGGAGACUCAAGAUGCAUGCCAUGUCACAUUGGAUCUGAACACAGCACACAGAGAGCUCCAUCUGUCUGAGGAGAACAGGAAGGUGGAAAGGGAAGAGGAGACCUACUUGUAUCCUCAUCAUCCAGAGCGAUUUGUCUGGUGCUCUCAGGUGCUGUGUAGAGAGGCUGUGUCUGGACGCUGCUAUUGGGAGGUGGAGUGGAAGGUGGGUUGAGUUGGUAGUUUUGUACAAAAGCAUCUGCAGGACAGGAGGGGUUGCGAGCAGGUUUGGGUGUAAUGGUCAGUCCUGGAGGCUGGACAUCUCCAGGACCUGCUCAUUUUUCAGACACAGUAAUGAAGUGACCAAACUCCCUCUAGUGGUCAGCACCAGAAUAGGAGUGUAUGUGGAUCACCAGGCAGGAACUCUGGCCUUCUACAGCAUCUCUAACACAAUGAAUACUGCACACAAUACAGACCACAUUCACUCACACCCUCUACCCUGGGUUUUGUAUUGGUAAUGUGUCAUCUGUGAAACUGCUGUGACUCAGAUAUAGUUAGAUAAUGUUAGCAAGACACACACACACACACACACCCCAUUCUGGACCCCAGCAGAUAUCACAGCAGCUCAACACACCAGUCACUGUGGGGGAAAUGGCUUGUUGGGCCCAGUCUGGUGUCACCUCAGUCCCUUUCCCUGUAUCCUUUAGCACUUGCUCUCUUCAUAAUCCUCCAUCUCCUUCCUCUGACUUUCAGGGCUUUGGUCCCAAUUUGAUUGUACAGACUGUAUAUCUGAUGUAAGGUGAUACUAUGAGGUCAUCAUGUAGCCUAUUUAACUUUGAUCAACUGUAAGACAUGGAUUGUUUUCAGACAUGAGGAAGCCUACAUGACUGGCCCCAGUUUUACAAGAGUUGUUGCAAAUGUCAUGAUCCUAACAUGAUUCAUGUUACUUUUUGCCUUUUCUAAAAAUUAAAGAUGUAUAUGAUCCUCACUGUUGAAGUUCUUAUUAAAUAUACCAGCAAA